UUAAUUUUGGCAAUACAUAUACUGAAAUUGGAACAAUUCAGAGAAGAUUAGUAUGGCCCCUGCACAAGGAUGACAGUAAGUUCAUGAAGCAUUCCAUAUUUUU
ensembl:snRNA U6 U6 spliceosomal RNA